rnacentral:rRNA from 1 species
UACGUAGGGUGCGAGCGUUACUCGGAAUUACUGGGCGUAAAGCGUGCGCAGGCGGUUUGGUAAGACAGAUGUGAAAUCCCCGGGCUCAACCUGGGAACUGCAUUUGUGACUGCAUGGCUAGAGUACGGUAGAGGGGGAUGGAAUUCCGCGUGUAGCAGUGAAAUGCGUAGAUAUGCGGAGGAACACCGAUGGCGAAGGCAAUCCCCUGGACCUGUACUGACGCUCAUGCACGAAAGCGUGGGGAGCAAACAGG